GUUAGGGCAGGACGGUUUUUCGGCACCAGGAAGCCGAAGUGGGAGCUCGGCGGUACUGCUGAGGACUGUUGAUCGCUGUGGACUACAUUGUGGACUACAUGUGGAUUGUAUCGCUUGCUGGGCAAGUAAACUUGUUGUUCUGCUUCCCUGAUUCAUGCUUCUCUUCCUUCGAGUCAUUGGCAAAGGCUUGGGAAUCCAUACGUGGGAGGUUUUCCCAUAUCUGGCGCCCAACGUGGAAGGGGGGCGGGGUUGCACAUUUGCCAGUGCUGAAGGAAGGGAGGCGAUUUAUCCUUCGGUAUUUUUGAGUGACUUCCAGAGCCCAACCCCAACAUGGCUACGGCACGCGCAGCCAAACAGCAGCACCCGCCGUUCCAACGAAUCCGGUGGAGCCCUCGACCAAGCAGGCAACAACGAAGGACAGGACAACUCAAGCAGUUCCUCCUCAUUCCACCACUGCUACGGGGUUGCAGCCCGGAACUUCUACAACGCCGGAGCUGCUCACGAGCAUCGCCCAGUUGUGUUCCAUGAUGGCACAGCAGCUCGUCACCGGAUCCGUUUCACAACAGCCGAGGAAUCCCCUCCGAGUGAAUAUUCCAGUAUGGCAUUCUCCGGCUACACGGAUCCGAAGUCUCUUCACGACUUUUUUGAUGACCUUGACGACUACCAGGACGACUUCAAACGCACUGAGUUCCUGCCCCCGACUAUGAAUACAGGAUCAGGGAGGAAUUGGACAGGCGGACUCAACACCCAGAUGAAAGCCUGGUGGAGUUUAUCCGAGCCCUUCAGGAUCUGUUUCGGCGUGCGGACCCAACAGCUUCGCAGGCAAAGCAAGUGGCACGGGUCACUCGACAAUGCCAACCUCGCUUUCGACCGUUCCUGCGCGCCCGAACCUCCACAGACUUAGAAGUGAUGGCCAAAGAAGCCCGUACUAUUCAAGGGGACCUGCUGGCGGAACUCACAUACCAUCCUCCGCCGCCAGAGUGGCACGCUCUCGAACCCCGCUGCGCGUGGUCUUCGUGCCCCCCUCCGUAACUCAACAAGUCUGCGAUACCUUCGUGGUUCCCAGGCUAGGAACGGGACCGCUUUUCAGCCUGCCCGUCUCCGUCUACGUUCCGGCACACAGAUUUGAGCCAGCCUGCGGUACCUUCGUGGUCUGCAGAAUCCGGACGGAGCCAUUUUCUACCCGUCCUACCUCCGUCCCUACGAGCCCUGGACCCGUCCUUUGCUCCACCUGGAGUACGAGGGUCCCAUGACUGCACUCUUUUCGGUCAGGGCGCACACAGAAGAAACGGCAACCCCCUGUGGGCCGGCUGCCUCCACAAAACCGGGGCCCUCACGAGGCUUCCCCUCUUAGGGGUCGACGCCCUCAAGCGCUCGACGGUCCUCAAGAUUAUCGGACACAACAGCAGACAGGCUGGCCAUUUUCGCCAGGACUGCCCUCUGCGAGCACAAAGCUCACGUCCGCAAGCUGCUCCGGGAAACGGCUAUCACAGACGUCCUCUAGGAGCCCACCCGGUGACGGUGGCUGCCGCACAGAAAACCCAAAUUCUUGACACGCCGGCGUAUUGACGCCUUUCACUUGCGCCGUCCGGGACUCCUUCUCCGACAACGUACCUACGAUGGCAGGGCUACCCUUUCAUUGACAGGAGAUGCAGCGUACGAACUAUGCCAAGCCCGACAUGUGAGUACGGUACCCUGCGAUACCACAUUACGCAUGGCGUCAUGGCUGCGCUACGAUGGACCACAUCGCAGACAUCGCUCUGUCCACAUACCUGGCUUGGCAGUGCCUCUAAUCCUUGAAGGUGAAACUACGCCCAAGGUCGGUACCAUGACAGCUGUACGAGGGGGACUCUCUACUUGCUUGAACAAAUUCGCCGGUACACAACCAGACCGCUCUCAGCUGUAAAGAACCUUGCGUCCCUUCGAGAGCAUGUUCACAGAAAAUCCCGGUUAUACACCGGCGCCCCUGAACCUGGGUCGAGAGAUGCCUUUUCCUUUAGAGAACUCCUUGGCCUCCAGGACAGCUCGGUCGGCCGUCCCUGCUCCAGCUUCGCAGAGGGACUCCGAAACAGGCUCGACGACACCAUUAGGACAGCUCGGGAGAACCUCGAUGUAGCCCGACCUUCCCAGGCGCAGCAGUACAACCGCGGCCGAAGGAACCUGUCGUUCAGCGUGGGUGACCUUGUCCUCAAACGGACACAUCCACUCAGCGAUGCAGCACGAGGUUUCGCAGCUUCCCUUGCUCACAGAUGGGAGGGCCCCUUCGUGGUAACUGCGUGCGGAUCAAGAAUCACCUACAGGCUACGUAGCUGUGCCGACGGAGCGGAGACAGGACCAAUACACGUCUCAGACCUGAAGCUGUUUUAUCUAAGGCACGAGAGCGACGAACCUGUCGAGGACCCUUCACCAUCGGCCCCGCACGUACGAGUUCCGGACAACGGGUCAACACAAAGCCGAUACUGGCUAAGACCUCGGGCACAAGUAUCCUAUUACCUCGUCAUUAGUGUCUAGUGCUCAGGGGUAAUCCUUACCAACGCGAAGGGGGUAGCAGCGGUUUUCCCGCCGGUGAAGUCCGGGAAGAGUGGCGGCGGCAAUAGUAAUUGCUUUAAGUAGCGGCAUGGCUCGACGAUCGGUCUGAAGUGACGAUCGGUCUGAAGUGUCAAGUGCAGCUUGCUGCACAGGAAGUUAGUUUAUGUUUGUGACGUGAACAAGUGUUGUAUGCCGCGGUGUGACGUCGAGGGACACGCCAGAAGACACCCCGCCGACAAGAAGACGUCGCAGGAGUCUUCGCAGAAUCUUCGGGCUUCCCCACCCCUAUAGCUAAGUGAUUUUGACGAGACUGACGUAAACAAUUGUUUAGCUAGGUAGCCUGUGUUGCGAUUUUGGUCGUAAGGAGCAGAGAUCACUUUUCUACAAUUUGUAGGGUUCGCUGUGUGACGAUUUUUGGUUUAAAGCGACCAUAAAAUGAUUUUUGC